GUUCAACUUUACAUUAGAGUUCUCUUAGAAGUUCAAUAUAGAUAGAUAAAUAGAUAAACUAGCUCCUUCUCCACUCUCCAGAUAUCUCUAGAAAAGGGAAGAGAUGUUAACUUUAAAAUUUGCCUGGAUGACUCAAAUCAGUGACCAAGUUUGAGUACUACUCACACAAGAUUGUCACAACUUCUCUCUAAAUCCAUCGGGACUACCUUUAGUGACGAUUGAACAAGAAAACAUAUAUGACCUGAUUGGCCUACACGCUUCACAGCAAUAGCAUCUUUCUUAUGCAAGCCUUAACUGAACUGAAGAAUCAAGUACACUGGUCCAGAGACUGAAACAAAGCAGGGGUGCUAAAGCCCUGCGGGGGUGGGCUUUACCUGCUCAGGAAGAAAAGGAACAAGAGAGAUCUUUGAGCCAGAAGAGGGGUUCAAGAAGGAGAUGCUGGAUGGAAGUUUCCAGUGAAUAAAGAUGGUGGCCUUUUUCAAGUGUUUGGAACUUGUGGUAGCUGUAUAAAAAGUUUUGCCAGCGGAUAAUCCAGUCUCCACAUUACAGAUGAGUUGAAUGGGAAUCAAAGGCGAAAACCAGGUUGACUGAGAGUAAGUGGGCAAUGCCAAGAUUUGAAUAU